AACGCACAUUGCGCCCUUUGGCAUUCCGAAGGGCAUGCCUGUUCGAGCGUCAUUAUCACCCCUCAAGCCCCUGGCUUGGUGUUGGACGGUUUGGCGGAGGCCCCUUUCGGGGCCCUCGCCCCUCCCAAAGACAAUGACGGCGGCCUCGUUGGACCCCUGGUACACUGAGUUCUUCACGGGACACGUACUGGAGUAAGGGUACGCGGGGCACGGUCUGCCUCCCCUUUCAGGGAGAAUUUUAUCACAAGGUUGACCUCGGAUCAGGUAGGGAUACCCGCUGAACUUAA
rnacentral:misc_RNA from 1 species